UGGGGAAUUUUGGACAAUGGGCGAAAGCCUGAUCCAGCAAUGCCGCGUGUGUGAAGAAGGCCUUCGGGUUGUAAAGCACUUUUGUCCGGAAAGAAAUCCUUGGCUCUAAUACAGUCGGGGGAUGACGGUACCGGAAGAAUAAGCACCGGCUAACUACGUGCCAGCAGCCGCGGUAAUACGUAGGGUGCAAGCGUUAAUCGGAAUUACUGGGCGUAAAGCGUGCGCAGGCGGUUUGCUAAGACCGAUGUGAAAUCCCCGGGCUCAACCUGGGAACUGCAUUGGCGACUGGCAGGCUAGAGUAUGGCAGAGGGGGGUAGAAUUCCACGUGUAGCAGUGAAAUGCGUAGAGAUGUGGAGGAAUACCGAUGGCGAAGGCAGCCCCCUGGGCCAAUACUGACGCUCAUGCACGAAAGCGUGGGGAGCAAACAGGAUUAGAUACCCUGGUAGUCCACGCCCUAAACGAUGUCAACUAGUUGUUGGGGAUUCAUUUCCUUAGUAACGUAGCUAACGCGUGAAGUUGACCGCCUGGGGAGUACGGUCGCAAGAUUAAAACUU
rnacentral:rRNA from 1 species